rnacentral:rRNA from 1 species
UACGGAGGGUGCAAGCGGUGUUCGGAAUUACUGGGCGUAAAGCGCACGUAGGCGGACUUGAAAGUCAGAGGUGAAAUCCCAGGGCUCAACCUUGGAACUGCCUUUGAAACUUCUGGUCUUGAGGUCGAGAGAGGUGAGUGGAAUUCCGAGUGUAGAGGUGAAAUUCGUAGAUAUUCGGAGGAACACCAGUGGCGAAGGCGGCUCACUGGCUCGAUACUGACGCUGAGGUGCGAAAGCGUGGGGAGCAAACAGG